rnacentral:rRNA from 1 species
GAUGAACGCUGGCGGCGUGCCUAAUACAUGCAAGUCGAGCGAAUGGAUUAAGAGCUUGCUCUUAUGAAGUUAGCGGCGGACGGGUGAGUAACACGUGGGUAACCUGCCCAUAAGACUGGGAUAACUCCGGGAAACCGGGGCUAAUACCGGAUAACAUUUUGAACCGCAGGGUUCGAAAUUGAAAGGCGGCUUCGGCUGUCACUUAUGGAUGGACCCGCGUCGCAUUAGCUAGUUGGUGAGGUAACGGCUCACCAAGGCAACGAUGCGUAGCCGACCUGAGAGGGUGAUCGGCCACACUGGGACUGAGACACGGCCCAGACUCCUACGGGAGGCAGCAGUAGGGAAUCUUCCGCAAUGGACGAAAGUCUGACGGAGCAACGCCGCGUGAGUGAUGAAGGCUUUCGGGUCGUAAAACUCUGUUGUUAGGGAAGAACAAGUGCUAGUUGAAUAAGCUGGCACCUUGACGGUACCUGACCAGAAAGCCACGGCUAACUACGUGCCAGCCGCCGCGGUAA